AAUUGCACUUCGAUUCAUCCCAAUUGACUUUUCCUUUAGGUUUCAAGUGAAUUUCACGUUACUAUCGAAUGUUUUGAUAUUGAAGUUCGAAAAGAAAAAAAUUGUCUAAGUCAAGAUGGCCACUCACAUUAAAUCUGAGUCAGAGCUCUCGCGUUUAAAUUGGACUAUUCGACAGAAAAGAGGGUUUUAUUUUCGCGAAAUUGUGGCAGGAUUAUCUCUAAAACUAUGGGAAUUAUCAUCUGCUUCUCGCCGCCGCUGCCUCAAAUUUUUUUAAGUAUCUGCAUAACAUUUUUUUUGAUGAUGACUGACCCCCAUCGAGGCAUGUUUAUGAUUGUCAACGAGGAUCCGGAAAUGUCCAAGGAGACCCGCGAGAGUCCCGGUGUGUGGCGCAGGAGCACGGCUUGCUGCUUAUACGGAGAGCAUUUUUUGUGUGAAGUGUGAAUGAAAAAGUGAUGUGUAUGUGUAUUCUCGUAGAAGGCUUAAAGUGUAAUAUAUUUUUAAAAAUAAAUGGAAAACUAAUGAAUGCA